CUGACUGCUAUCGGAUUGAUACUAAGCCAUGCGAGUCUUUGUAGUAAUACAAGGCAGACGGCUCAGUAACACGUAGUCAACCUACCCUAUGGACGAGAAUAAUCUCGGGAAACUGAGCAUAAUUCUCGGUAGAUCAUAAUGCCUGGAAUGGUUUAUGGUUAAAAUGAUUCUUCGCCAUAGGAUGGGACUGCGGCCUAUCAGCUUGUUGGUGAGGUAAUGGCCCACCAAGGCGAUUACAGGUACGGGCUCUGAGAGGAGAAGCCCGGAGAUGGGUACUGAGACACGGACCCAGGCCCUAUGGGGCGCAGCAGGCGAGAAAACUUUGCAAUGUGCGAAGGCACGACAAGGUUAAUCCGAGUGAUUUCUGCUAAAGAAAUCUUUUACCAGUCGUAAAACCACUGGCGAAUAAGGGGUGGGCAAGUUCUGGUGUCAGCCGCCGCGGUAAAACCAGCACCUCAAGUGGUCAGGAUGAUUAUUGGGCCUAAAGCAUCCGUAGCCUGCUCUGUAAGUUUUCGGUUAAAUCUGUAUGCUCAACAUACAGGCCGCCGGGAAUACUGCAGGGCUAGGGAGUGGGAGAGGUAGACGGUACUCGGGAGGAAGUGGUAAAAUGCUUUGAUCUCUCGAUGACCACCUGUGGCGAAGGCGGUCUACCAGAACACGUCCGACGGUGAGGGAUGAAAGCUGGGGGAGCAAACCGGAUUAGAUACCCGGGUAGUCCCAGCCGUAAACUAUGCAAACUAAGUGAUGCAUUGGCUUGUGGCCAAUGCAGUAUUUCAGGGAAGCCGUUAAGUUUGCCGCCUGGGAAGUACGUACGCAAGUAUGAAACUUAAAGGAAUUGGCGGGGAGCACCACAAGGGUGAAGCCUGCGGUUCA
rnacentral:rRNA from 1 species